GAUGAACGCUAGCGGCAGGCCUAACACAUGCAAGUCGAACGGUAACAUAGAGAAGCUUGCUUUUCUGAUGACGAGUGGCGCACGGGUGCGUAACGCGUAUACAAUCUACCUUUACAGGGGGAUAGCCUUUAGAAAUGAAGAAUAAUACCCCAUAGUAAAUGUUUUUCGCAUGAGAGACAUUUUAAAGUUCCGGCGGUAAAAGGUGAGUAUGCGUUCUAUUAGCUAGAUGGUGUGGUAACGGCACACCAUGGCGACGAUAGAUAGGGGCCCUGAGAGGGGGAUCCCCCACACUGGUACUGAGACACGGACCAG
rnacentral:rRNA from 1 species